GAGUAGUAAUAGUUAGGGGCUUGAAACUUAAAGAAUUUGGCGGUAUUUUAAUCUAUUCAGAGGAACCUGUUCUGUAAUCGAUAAUCCACGAGGACUUUACUUAAAUUUGUAGUUCAAUUUGUAUACCGCUGUUAUAGAUUAUUUUAUAAGGAAAAUAAUUUUCUUAAUUUUUUAAAAAUAUAUCAAGUCAAGGUGCAGUUUAUAUUUAAGGAAGAAAUGGGUUACAAUAAAUUUAUUUAUACGAAUAGUAGAUUGAAAUAUUUACUUAAAGGUGGAUUUGAUAGUAAAUUUAUAAAUAUAGUUAAUUUGAUUUUAGCUCUAAAAUAUGU
rnacentral:rRNA from 1 species